AUCAACGAGAAAAGACUGAGAUUCGAAAAGACAAAGAAAAUUUUCAACAUAAUCAAAAUGCCGUUUUUCUCGAUGGACACAACGGACAUAAUUCGCAUGGCAGGAGCAUCGACGGUCAUGGAAAGGUGGACAAGAAGAAAAAAAAGGGCCUUUUAAUACUUUGUUAACAUAAACAUUAAAAUGAAUGACACUAAUACUCUCGCACCACUAAUAUCUAAUUAUAAAUGGCCAUAUCUACCCUGUCGUAUUCAACGUUGGGGAACUAUUAAUAGGAUUACGCUUAAAUAUAUAUAGACAUAUUUCUGUUAAGAACUUCGAGUUUAAUUUGGCAAGCGUUGUUUGGUUGGAAUGUUUAUAAUUUUAUUCGUGAGGAAAUAUCCUGACGAAAACAAUAUAUGUAGCUAGCUUGCGGUGUUCGUUUAAUGCACAUAGCGAUAAAUCGCCUUUUCUCUAUAUCAUAGACAAAACAUGUAUAUUCCUUUUAUUUUACAUCGCACAUUCUGAGUGUAGCGUGCUUUUAUAAUUAUUUUGUGUGUGAUAAUUUAUAUGUUUCACGCUUGCCAAAUUUGAUAUCACGUAUAAGAAAUAGUUCAUCUUACUUGUAUUAUGAUGUAUGAAUGCGGGCCAUCAGCCAGAGAGAUAGACGGGUGUAAAGUUGCGUUGUGUUGUGUCUUGACACUGAACGUUAACAUAUUUUGAAACAGCAUCAAUAACCAUUACGACUAAGAGAAGAGAGAAGAACGGCUUAUUAAGUGGUGUAUUUUAAAAUCGUAGUUCAACAUAUUUUAAUAAACCAAAUUCAUAUUGAAGUAUGGACGUUUUCCACGCCAUAUAUAACAUAUAUCGUUCACAAACAUUGGCGUCGAUUAAGUUUACAAAAUUUUUCAACCUAACUUUGCAAUUUUACUAAUUUUAGGAAUUAAAAAAUCUCCUUCGUGA